UUCGCCGCCUGAAGAGACAAGAUGGCGGAGCUUGCGAAAUCGAAAAUUGGUACUUGAAAGUCAAUGGUUGAUCAUGAUGACCAUCUUUUAUUUAAUGGAGAAAGAAACCAAUAUUUGCAGCUGGACAGGCUGUCACCACAGUUCAAUGAUUUAGUUAAGACAACGAAAUAGAAGAACUCAACACUUGCACCAGUGGAAGUACUUCUUAUUGGAUAGAGAACUUUUCAAGGUCAGACAUCAGCUUUUGAAGUUGCUUUCUUGGCACUUCAUGCUGUCCAGUGGAGUUCAUACCAUAUGCCAGGUCUUUAUACAUGGUCAAAGAAGAUGAAUUUGUUAUUCAAUUUGUGAAAUUUGAUUUAGCGAGGACUUUCAUAUAUGAUGAUUAUAUUCAGCAGAUUAUCUUCAAGUGUGCACUUUAUAGAAUCACAGUUUCUAGGAGGUUUUCAGUUUAAAGUUAGAUUAAUUGAAAAAUAAGGGGAGCUAUCAUACUCACCAUGGUAUCAACAUUGGCAUUACACCAGGUUUAAGUUUUUCUUACCAGUCCAUAAUUUAAAAGGACCUUUUUACAGUAUUGAAACUUACAACAGUAAUGUAUCAUCAUUAUACCAAGUUUUAGGCAAGAGUACAUAACUCCAUCAAGGAUUUGACUGAACUAUGGCCCUUUGAAACUUUUGUCACUUGUUUAUAAUAAUAGUCUCUCUAUAUAGGCAAGAGUUCAUAACACUGUAGAGUAUUUUGGAUGAAUUAUGUCCCUUUUGGACUUUGAAAUUGGUUCAGUUUUUGUACAAGUCCACAUUUUGACAUAUAGCUUUCAACACUAAGUCUUAC
rnacentral:lncRNA from 1 species